rnacentral:rRNA from 1 species
GCCGAUAACUCGGGGAUAGCCUUUCGAAAGAAAGAUUAAUACCCGAUGGUAUAAUCAGACCGCAUGGUCUUGUUAUUAAAGAAUUUCGGUUAUCGAUGGGGAUGCGUUCCAUUAGGCAGUUGGUGAGGUAACGGCUCACCAAACCUUCGAUGGAUAGGGGUUCUGAGAGGAAGGUCCCCCACAUUGGAACUGAGACACGGUCCAAACUCCUACGGGAGGCAGCAGUGAGGAAUAUUGGUCAAUGGGCGCAGGCCUGAACCAGCCAAGUAGCGUGAAGGAUGACUGCCCUAUGGGUUGUAAACUUCUUUUAUAUGGGAAUAAAGUUUUCCACGUGUGGAAUUUUGUAUGUACCAUAUGAAUAAGGAUCGGCUAACUCCGUGCCAGCAGCCGUGGUAAUACGGAGGAUCCGAGCGUUAUCCGGAUUUAUUGGGUUUAAAGGGAGCGUAGGUGGACAGUUAAGUCAGUUGUGAAAGUUUGCGGCUCAACCGUAAAAUUGCAGUUGAUACUGGCUGUCUUGAGUACAGUAGAGGUGGGCGGAAUUCGUGGUGUAGCGGUGAAAUGCUUAGAUAUCACGAAGAACUCCGAUUGCGAAGGCAGCUCACUGGACUGCAACUGACACUGAUGCUCGAAAGUGUGGGUAUCAAACAGGAUUAGAUACCCUGGUAGUCCACACAGUAAACGAUGAAUACUCGCUGUUUGCGAUAUACAGUAAGCGGCCAAGCGAAAGCAUUAAGUAUUCCACCUGGGGAGUACGCCGGCAACGGUGAAACUCAAAGGAAUUGACGGGGGCCCGCACAAGCGGAGGAACAUGUGGUUUAAUUCGAUGAUACGCGAGGAACCUUACCCGGGCUUAAAUUGCAUUUGAAUAUAUUGGAAACAGUAUAGCCGUAAGGCAAAUGUGAAGGUGCUGCAUGGUUGUCGUCAGCUCGUGCCGUGAGGUGUCGGCUUAAGUGCCAUAACGAGCGCAACCCUUAUCUUUAGUUACUAACAGGUCAUGCUGAGGACUCUAGAGAGACUGCCGUCGUAAGAUGUGAGGAAGGUGGGGAUGACGUCAAAUCAGCACGGCCCUUACGUCCGGGGCUACACACGUGUUACAAUGGGGGGUACAGAAGGCAGCUACCUGGUGACAGGAUGCUAAUCCCAAAAGCCUCUCUCAGUUCGGAUCGAAGUCUGCAACCCGACUUCGUGAAGCUGGAUUCGCUAGUAAUCGCGCAUCAGCCAUGGCGCGGUGAAUACGUUCCCGGGCCUUGCACACACCGCCCGUA